rnacentral:rRNA from 1 species
AAGCGGCGAACGGGGUGAGUAACACGUGGGUAACCCACCCUUGGUACCGGGAUAGCCCGAGGAAACUCGGAUUAAUACCGGAUGGCCCAACAGCUCUUCGGGGCGGUUGGAAAAGGUAGCUUCGGCCUCCGACCAAGGACGGGCCCGCGGCGGAUUAGCUUGUUGGUGAGGUAACGGCUCACCAAGGCGACGAUCCGUAGCUGGUCUGAGAGGACGAUCAGCCACACUGGGACUGAGACACGGCCCAG